UGCACACUAGCCUGGGCAGAGCGAGACUCCACCUAAAAAAAAAAAAGAAAGAAGAGCUGAUAAAACUUUGGUUAAGGUAAUAACAAUGAAGAUGGAGAGAAGGAAAAGGGUUCAAGAGAUAUUUAAGCAGAACUAUAGGACUUAGAAAUUAGGUGGAAACUAUGGAAACUAGAAUGGCAGAGUGAUUUGCUCCAGAUGGGGUCUUUUAGAUGUUGACUGAUCUGUGACUUUAUUAAGUGUAGAAGAUACCACCUACUGAGAUUUUGGGUGUAAAACAUCUUUAAAUCAUUGACAUAACAUCAAAGGUUAGAUGUGCAGGUUCACUUCUGUCUCUUCUGAUAAAAAGCCUUUCUCUUAGUUAUAUUAAUAGUAAAUUGAGGUGGGAGGAGAUUCAAAGAUGUUCAUUCAACAAAUAUUUGUUGAGCACACAUUAUAUGCCAAGCACUGUGAUAAGGAUACAAUGGUGAGCAAUACAGUCAUGGACUCUGACUUUAUGAGGUAUAUAAUGAAACACCGUUAAAAGCACUACACGUCGGCUGCUUGCUUUGCUCCAUGCCUCCCCGAUGAAGCCCCUGUCAUAGCUGCCGCCAAGCCUGCCACCACCACCUCUGAGCAGAUGACUGUGCCACCCAAGUAUGCCAAUCUUGGCAAAUCUGCCAGGAAUGUCUUCACCAAGGGCUAUGGAUAUGGCCUAAUAAAACUUGAUUUGAAAACAAAAUCUGAGAAUGCAUUGGAAUUUGUAAGCUUAGGCUCAACCAACACUGAAAUUCACCAAAGUGACAGGCAGUCUGGAGACCAAGUACAGAUGGACUGAAUAUGGCCUGAUGUUUAUGAAGUGAAACACACAACACUAGGACUGAGAUUACUGUGGAAGAUCAUCUUGCAAGUAGACUGAAGCUGACCCUCGAUUCAUCCUUAUCACCUAACACUGGGGGAAAAUGCUAACAUCAACACCAGGUACAAGCAGGAGCACAUCAACCUGGACUGUAACCUGGAUUUUGACAUCACUCGGCCUUCAAUCUGGGGCGCUCUGGUGCUGGGUUACAAGGGUGGCUGGCUAGCUACCAGAUAAAUUUUGAGGCUGCAAAAUCCUGAGUGACCCAGAGCAACUUUGCAGUUGGCUACAAGUCUGAUGAACUCCAACUUCACACUAAUGUGAAAAUGGGACAGUUUGGUGGCUCCAUUUACCAGAAGGUAAAUAACAAGUUGGAGAUCACUGUCAAUUUUACCUGGACAGCAGGAAACAUGUGAAAACGGACUAAUACAAACACUCACUUUGGAAUACCCAAGUAUCUGAUCAACCCUGACACCUCCUUCUUGGCUAAGUGAACAACUCUCGCCUAAUAGGUUUAGAAUACACUGAGACCCUAAAGCUAGGUAUCAAUAUGACACUGUCAGCUGUCCUGAAUGGCAAGAAUAACAAUGCCGGUGGUUACACACUAGGUCUGGAACUGAAAUUUCGAGCAUAAAUACUGUACAAUUAUUUAUUUUUACAUUAUUUUGCAGCAGAGCUACCUUUAGAAUUUAGUGUAUCUUUUACUGUAUGCUUGGGAUGCAAGCAUUGCUAAAUGUUAGACUUCCAGGCUAAGUAUGUUAGAUUUCCAGGCUAAAGAUAAUUCAGUUUUAAAAUGUUACCCUUUUAGAGAUAGAGAAGAAACUCAAUUCCAAAAAACGUCCUUUCAGCUAUAGACUUGGAGAGGCAACUUGGUGGCCCCUCUUCAGAAGCCAGUUUUCUUUUUUAUCUAGAAAUGACUGUACGUGGAAGUUGGUAAUAUGUAGGCAUUUUGUAAAUUCAUAUUGAGUAAAUGAAUGAAAUUGUGACUUCCUGAGAAUUGAACCUUGGUUUCCUAACCCUAAUUAAUGAUAGGCUUGUUGCUUGAUGGUGCAAACUCACUUGAAAGAGAUUCUUUUAGACAGAUCUUCGUGAUCUUUCCACCCCAGUUAAUCAUCACCUCUUUUACACCAAAAUGUCUGCAGGGUGUGGUAACUGUUUGUUUUGUGCCAUUCUGGGGUAAAGAGGGUAGAUGUGAUGAAGCCAAUAAUUCAGGAUUUAAUUCCUUCUCAUGCCGUGGUUUUGUGCCCUUCCACCAGAAUAUGAAAUAGCUUCCAGGAGUUCCAGAUAUAAGCUUGGAAGAAUCACAUGGUGAUAACACUCAGAAUCUAAAUUGGACUUCUGUUGUAUUCUCACCACUCAAUUUAUUUUUUAGCAGUUUAAUGGGUGUAUUUUAGAGUCUUCCAUUUUGUGUGAAUUUAGAUCCUCCCCUUCAAAUGCUGUAAUUAACAUCAUUCAAAGUAAAAUUUGAAAAAUAUAUUGAAAACAGUGUGAUAUACCGAAAGCAUGAGCAAUUAUGGGAGCUGGAGUCUGGGGAAGAGUUAUCUGAGGAAAUAGUAACUAGGAUCUCAAGAAUGAGUAGAUAAAGGCAGAAAGCAUUGUAAGCCAGGAAACAGCACAUACAAAGGCCUUGAGAUGAAACAGCAUAUGACAAUUUAGAGGAAGCGAAAGAAGGCCAGUGUGGCUACAGCACAGAAGGAAAGAGUGAAGUGUGAUUUGAAUAAAUUCAGCAAAUAGUAUUGACAGUCCAUUGUUACUGAUAAGAUAAAGCUGGAAGUAGACAGAGGCUGGAUCAUGCAGGCCUUUGUAGGUCAUAUUUAGAAUCUCAGUUUUUAUCCUAAGAAUGGGAAGCUAUUACAAAGAUUAAGCAUUAGUUUUUAUUUUAUGGCUUGAGUGAAGAAAAGAUUGAAGGGAUACAAAGUGUGUACUGGAAGCGCAGCAACUGCAGUAAUCCUGGUGGGAGAUUACGGUGAGGGUGGAGAGAGGUAGUGAGAAUCCAGGGAUAUUUAGAAAUGUAAACUCGUAAGAUUUGGCAAUUGAGUGAUAGGAGAAAAAGGGAAAUGCCUUCUAUCUUCUCCAACUGGAUGAGUACCAGGCAUAGGAUAGUUUAUUAGGAAACAUGUUGAAUUUGGGAUGUUUUUGAGAUACUUAAGUGGAGAUGUCAAACAGCUUGGAGGAGAUCUGGAAGUUACCAGUAACUGAAGUUCAGAGUGGGGAAGAAACUGUCCUAGGAAAAUUAGACUGAGAAGAACAGGACCUAGAAAAACUUUUAGAUUUAAAGGCUGGGAGGAGGAUGAGCCUGCAAAGGAGGCUAAGCAGCUGUGGUCAAAGAGGUAGUAGUAAAACCAUGACAGUACAGUAAGACACCAGUGGAAGCGUAUCAAUGAUAAGAAACUAGAAAAUUAUACCAAAUGCUACUGAAAAGUGAGGUAGUGAGGACUGGGAAAUAACCACUGGAUUCACCGACAGGAAGUUGAUCACCAAGGUGACCUUGGUAAGAACCAUUUCAAUAGAAUGAGGGUUGUAGAAGUCAAAAUGGACUGGGUUGAGGAAUGCAAAUGGAAAAUGACUCGUAAUAUGGAGAGGCCCAAACUAUCUGUUUUGAGAAGUUUAACUGUAAAGUAGAAAAGAUGGAAGCGUAACUGGAGGGGAAAUGAGAUAUGAAGUGGUUUAUUAACAGGGGAGUCUUUAGCAUGUUUAAACACUGAUGAGAAGAAUUCAGUAAAGUGGAAGUCAAAGAUCCUCCAAGAGGGAAGGACUAAGAUUCUGAGAACAGGAAUAAGCACUGGCCUUAGACAGAGGUAUGCUUGCCUUGUUUAGACAAGAGAAACAAUGAUGCAUAUGUGUGGGUA